rnacentral:lncRNA from 1 species
UAGAAAUCUUGGGGAUACGUCUGCAAGCUUAAAACUUUAAUUUAUCCAUUUGCAAAUCUUUUGAAGCCAAGAAUAUUUCUGAAUAAGGACUGAAGCACCUCCAGUUGUUUAGUGGAAAUGUUAUCACACAACAACUGACAAAACAGGCAAGGCACUUUGCAACAGGAUGCAUGAAGGAAGGCUCCAAGGUGGGGAGCGCCGCCUGCUGUGGGCAAUGCACCAAGCGACCCUUCAACGGCUGUUACAUCGGCAUCGUAACUGCUCUGAUGGAAAUGAGUACCAAAGUUGUGGUAUUUUGUACCCUAAGCCUUCCAUCAGUCAUUCCAGGUAAAGAGCAGCUGAUCGCCACUGUCAAUCAGAAGAACAUCCUAACUGACACCGCUUGAAGGUAUUAAUUUUCUGUUUAAAAAGAUGAACGGCAAAAACUGAUCUGUUAAAAUGACCUGCCUGGAAGCUGGGAACACCUCACCAGUGUGUGGCCCUGCAGACCAACUAGACCAAUGACUGUGAGAGCCCUGGGGCACUAAUGGCCUUAAGCAGCUCCACCUGUGGCUAUCAGGAGCUGUGCUCCAGCCUUGGAGGCACUUGCUGCAGCCUGUCCUCAUGUAAGGCUGAUCAAAGUGCACUUUAUCUUUGGAACAGCACUGAGCAAACCAGCACAAGGUAAGGCACUAUAUUCUGUGGGUUUUAUGAUGUGGAGUUGUGUUUGUUUAUACCCCUCUGAAUUUCUUCCAUCUGAUGCUGGGCAGUAUUGAUGUUUUUCAUGUUGUGUUUGCUAGAAGUAGGGAUUAUCACUGAGUGCUUUGGUCUCUGACAUGGAUCUCCUUUCUUUUAACAAGAUGUUGCUUGAAGCUGGCUGGUUCUUUUGGAAUUUCUUACCUGUGCAGUAAACCUUACAUAGACUGUAAACUCAGUGAGGAAAAGUGUUGUUGUUCCAUGCUCUGAGCAUAGCUCCUGGGUUUUUAAAGCAAUUGUUUUAUAGGGAGGCAAUAUCCACUCUAGUUCAAACCAAGCUCUGCCAACAGGAGGGGUGUGCAGAGAUUCUGGGGCAGAACUGUCUGCAAAGGCUGAUUUGGAACAGAUGGGGCUAUGGUGUUGGAAUGGACCUCUGAUGGUCACCUCUCCCAUCACACACACAGCAGGUUUAGCUCUGUCAGGUGGCUCAGGGCCUUGUGCCACUGAGCUUCCAGCUGUCUCAUGCUAUGAAACAUUGGAGUCCUUUCUUCAUGCUGUUGCAGCCACUGGGCUUUGUGGAGGUUAAUGGGUUCUGCGUGACAUCUGAACUAUGUGGUGGUGCAAAGUGAGUCCUUCUGCAUGAAGAAAUAAAACCAUAUCUCUAUGCA